rnacentral:ribozyme from 1 species
AAAAGGAACGGAGAUAAAGAAUAUUUUCGAGCGAAAGAUUUGCUUGAUUCUACUGUCUUUCGCUUUGCAUCUUCUCACCAAAAUUUUUCUUUUUAUUUCUUCUUUUUUCCAUC